CGUAANCUUUGACUUAUCCGCCGAGUACUACGAGCAACAGCUUAAAACUCAAAGGACUUGGCGGUGCUCUACACCCCCCUAGAGGAGCCUGUUCUGUAAUCGAUAAUCCCCGAUAAACCUCACCAUCUAUUGCCAAUACAGCCUAUAUACCACCGUCCAGCCCGCCCUUUAAAGGUUAAAAAGCAGGCACAACUAUAACCAUAAAAACGUCAGGUCAAGGUGUAGCUAAUAAGAUGGGAAGAAAUGGGCUACAUUUUCUAACCUAGAAUACACGAAAAAGUUUUUGAAACAAAACUUCGAAGGAGGAUUUAGCAGUAAAAAGAAAGAAGAGCGUUCUUUUUAAGCCGGCAAUGGAGCGCGCACACACCGCCCG
rnacentral:rRNA from 1 species